GGAGGAGGAGGAGGGGGUAGAAUCGAUGGUCGCUACACCGCGAGAUAGGCCCCAUGCCGCGCUCAUUAACCUGCUAGCAUUCAUUAACGAAAGGGCGCGAGAGCCACCCGGCGGCCCGGACCAAACAAAAAAAAAGAGGAAGAGGGGGAAGCAAAGAAUAAGUUUUCCGAUAUCGAAAAAGGUCAGUGUACGCUGCUUUCCAUUAGGAGGGAGGGAAAGUGCUGUGUGUUUGGAGGGUGGUGGAAGGUGAUGGUGAGGAGAAGAAACAAACGGAUGUCUGCUGCUCUCGUUCGAUGGCCACAGUCAUUUAAGGAGGUCUCAAAUACCAAUGUCAUUUAAGUUUAUUUUAAACUUUAGAACAAUCUUGAUAGUGUAACUAGUUUCGUCUUACGGCAUUGAAUAAUGUCACAGUCGUGGCCCUUUGCUCUCCCCGGGCCACAUCAGUCUCGCCUCCCUGAACUCGGCGUGUUUUGAUCGGUGCGACUCGGCGGCUGAAUGUGGACGCGAACGUGUUGGCCGCUCUGCUGCCAAUUGCGUCCAACCCACCAAUUCGGUUGCCUGUGGGUAUGAAGGGUCGGCCACUCAUGUCACUUUCGCAGACUUUUAUAAGAAAUCGCGGUGACCUAAACCUUAUUUGCUCUUUCUUUUAUUAGUGGUAAAAAAAUAUGUUCAUUGCAACUCAAAAGCCGAGAGGUUGGCCCUUCGUCACAGAGUAUUUUUUAAAUCAUAUGCUAACCUUUAGGUUGUAACCACCAGCAUGCCCCACUGAUUAAGUAUAAAUAAUGUUAAAGUCAAAUUUUAAUUUUUUAAUAAAAUUUAAAAUAGAAAUCUUUGAUAAACAACUAUCCUAGAAUGCGACAAUACACAUCGCUGACUUAACUGAUUUAUGAUGGUACAGAAAACAUGGUAAUGGCAUUUGAGUAAUGUGUGCCAAAAAAAAAAAAAGAACACAAAUGUUAAAUCGAAUAUGGAGUCAAUAUAUGAGAAAGUAAAUAUUCGUUAUGUAUGUAAAAGAUGUGUAAAUAUUGUAUAAUGUUUUGUAAAAAUGAAAUUAUUCUGUCAGAGGUUUAGAGGGGUGUUGGUGUUGAAAAUUGUAGAGACAAAUGUAAAUACUUAUUUUGUCAGUGUAAAGAGCUUCCAAUAACAAGUAAUGAUAAGAAGACGCAGAUCGGAUAACAGGAUGCUUCGUGAACGGAUGAAAAGUCACAAAUACAUUUUUGGAAACAUAAGUUUGUUCACAGAAUGUUACAAAAUAUCUUUGAUUGUUUUCCCCAAACAUAAUGAGGCAUGUUGGUUUAUUUUGAUUUCUGUCCUUAUUUAACAUUACACCAAUUACAUUUAAAUUACAUUAAAAUCUUUACCAUUGAUCUGAAAUUUCAUAGCGGUUUAAAGUCCUAAGUAGCUAUCCACAGUAGAGCUACGCACACGCACUUUCAUCCUGUUGGAAGCUCUACCGACAAAUCUCCAUUUUAGGAAAAACUUGAGCGCCUUUACCGCCAAGAUAUAGUUGUGAUCUACGUCCUGUCCUUAUAAAUAAAAUUUGAAUAAACUAUCUUUGUCGAUGAACUGAUGUUUUGCUACUGUAAAUAGCUAGAUAUUGUUUUCAUUAAAAAAAUAUGACAUAGAAA